rnacentral:lncRNA from 1 species
UCGAUAAUGCUUCAAUCUCUAAAACAAAAUACUAAUAAAAAAUCAAAAGGUUCAUAUAUACAAAAAUAACGAAUAUAUAUUGCUAUCAUUGAAGUGGUCAUCAUACUCAUGAUUGAGUGUAUGAAUUAAUUGUCACGAGGGUUAUUUUAGCUAUAUUAAAUAAUUGGAAGAAAAAUUUUAUUACUUAUAAUAAUCUUAACAUUGACAAAAAUGUCUUCCCUUAAUGAUUUGUUUUGAAAU